rnacentral:rRNA from 1 species
UGGCGGACGGGUGAGUAACGCGUGGGUAACCUGCCCUGUACAGGGGGACAACAGUUAGAAAUGACUGCUAAUACCGCAUAAGCGCACAGGACCGCAUGGUCCGGUGUGAAAAACUCCGGUGGUACAGGAUGGACCUGCGUCUGAUUAGGUAGUUGGCGGGGUAACGGCCCACCAAGCCGACGAUCAGUAGCCGACCUGAGAGGGUGACCGGCCACAUUGGGACUGAGACACGGCCCAAACUCCUACGGAAGGCAGCAG